rnacentral:rRNA from 1 species
UAAGGAAUAUUGGUCAAUGGGCGCAAGCCUGAACCAGCCAUGCCGCGUGCAGGAAGACGGCCCUAUGGGUUGUAAACUGCUUUUGUCAGGGAAUAAACCCCCGCUCGUGAGCGGGGCUGAAGGUACCUGAAGAAUAAGCAUCGGCUAACUCCGUGCCAGCAGCCGCGGUAAUACGGAGGAUGCAAGCGUUAUCCGGAUUCAUUGGGUUUAAAGGGUGCGCAGGCGGAUUGGUAAGUCAGGGGUGAAAUCCCACAGCUCAACUGUGGAACUGCCUUUGAUACUGUCAGUCUAGAGUAUAGUUGAAGUGGGCGGAAUGUGUCAUGUAGCGGUGAAAUGCUUAGAUAUGACACAGAACACCGAUCGCGAGGGCAGCUCGCUAAGCUAUAACUGACGCUCAUGCACGAAAGCGUGGGGAUCAAACAG